AGAAUGCUGGCUGUGCGAGUCUCCCAAGGUGCGAGCUUUCUUUCUCUCUGAAUUAGGAGGUGAAACCAUUUGGAAGAGCCAUUGUAAAGGGGAGGGCUUUGGGCUGUGCAUACUCCUCAUAUCCAGGUGAACAGCAAGAAUAUUGCUUCAAGCUGAAAUGGUACACUUUGAAAAAAACCUCGUGCUUCUUUCAAGAAGAUACAAACUCUUUAGAACACAUACUUCUUGUUAUUAUUUUACUUCAAGUUCUGGGAUACAUGUGCAGAACGUGCAGGUUCGUUACACUGGUUACAAGAAUACAUGCUUUUUAAACCUGUUUUUGAAUGAUGUUUUGAUAAUACAAAUACAUAAAUGUA